CAUGGCUCAGANCUGCACGCUCGGUUUGUACAGCCUAACACAUGCAAGUCGAACGGUAACAGGAAGCAGCUUGCUGCUUCGCUGACGAGUGGCGGACGGGUGAGUAAUGUCUGGGAAACUGCCUGAUGGAGGGGGAUAACUACUGGAAACGGUAGCUAAUACCGCAUAACGUCGCAAGACCAAAGAGGGGGACCUUCGGGCCUCUUGCCAUCGGAUGUGCCCAGAUGGGAUUAGCUAGUAGUGGGGUAACGGCUCACCUAGGCGACGAUCCCUAGCUGGUCUGAGAGGAUGACCAGCCACACUGGAACUGAGACACGGUCCAGACUCCUACGGGAGGCAGCAGUGGGGAAUAUUGCACAAUGGGCGCAAGCCUGAUGCAGCCAUGCCGCGUGUAUGAAGAAGGCCUUCGGGUUGUAAAGUACUUUAAGCGAGGAGGAGGCUACCAGUAUUAAUACUACUGGAUAGUGGACGUUACUCGCAGAAUAAGCACCGGCUAACUCUGUGCCAGCAGCCGCGGUAAUACAGAGGGUGCGAGCGUUAAUCG
rnacentral:rRNA from 1 species